rnacentral:rRNA from 1 species
UACAGAGGGUGCAAGCGUUAAUCGGAAUUACUGGGCGUAAAGGGUGCGUAGGUGGUUAGGUAAGUUAGAUGUGAAAUUCCAGGGCUUAACCUUGGGACGGCGUUUAAAACUGCCUAGCUAGAGUACUGUAGAGGGAAGUGGAAUUUCCGGUGUAGCGGUGAAAUGCGUAGAUAUCGGAAGGACACCAGUGGCGAAGGCGGCUCACUGGACCGGUAUUGACGCUGAGGUGCGAAAGCGUGGGGAGCAAACAGG